AUGAACGCUGGCGGCGUGCCUAAUACAUGCAAGUCGAGCGAACAGACGAGGAGCUUGCUCCUCUGACGUUAGCGGCGGACGGGUGAGUAACACGUGGAUAACCUACCUAUAAGACUGGGAUAACUUCGGGAAACCGGAGCUAAUACCGGAUAAUAUAUUGAACCGCAUGGUUCAAUAGUGAAAGACGGUUUUGCUGUCACUUAUAGAUGGAUCCGCGCCGCAUUAGCUAGUUGGUAAGGUAACGGCUUACCAAGGCAACGAUGCGUAGCCGACCUGAGAGGGUGAUCGGCCACCCUGGAACUGAGCCACGGUCCAGACUCCUACGGGAGGCAGCAGUAGGGAAUCUUCCGCAAUGGGCGAGAGCCUGACGGAGCAACGCCGCGUGAGUGAUGAAGGUCUUCGGAUCGUAAAACUCUGUUAUUAGGGAAGAACAAAUGUGUAAGUAACUAUGCACGUCUUGACGGUACCUAAUCAGAAAGCCACGGCUAACUACGUG
rnacentral:rRNA from 1 species